rnacentral:rRNA from 1 species
GAUGAACGCUGGCGGCGUGCCUAAUACAUGCAAGUCGAGCGAACAGACGAGGAGCUUGCUCCUCUGACGUUAGCGGCGGACGGGUGAGUAACACGUGGAUAACCUACUUAUAAGACUGGGAUAACUUCGGGAAACCGGAGCUACUACCGGAUAAUAUAUUGAACCGCAUGGUUCAAUAGUGAAAGACGGUUUUGCUGUCACUUAUAGAUGGAUCCGCGCCGCAUUAGCUAGUUGGUAAGGUAACGGCUUACCAAGGCAACGAUGCGUAGCCGACCUGAGAGGGUGAUCGGCCACACUGGAACUGAGACACGGUCCAGACUCCUACGGGAGGCAGCAGUAGGGAAUCUUCCGCAAUGGGCGAAAGCUUGACGGAGCAACGCCGCGUGAGUGAUGAAGGUCUUCGGAUCGUAAAACUCUGUUAUUAGGGAAGAACAAAUGUGUAAGUAACUAUGCACGUCUUGACGGUACCUAAUCAGAAAGCCACGGCUAACUACGUG